rnacentral:rRNA from 1 species
GACGAACGCUGGCGGCGUGCUUAACACAUGCAAGUCGAGCGAUGAAGUUCCUUCGGGAAUGGAUUAGCGGCGGACGGGUGAGUAACACGUGGGUAACCUGCCUCAUAGAGGGGAAUAGCCUUUCGAAAGGAAGAUUAAUACCGCAUAAGAUUGUAGUAUCGCAUGAUACAGCAAUUAAAGGAGUAAUCCGCUAUGAGAUGGACCCGCGUCGCAUUAGCUAGUUGGUGAGGUAACGUCGCGCCCAGGCGACGAUGCGUAGCCGACCUGAGAGGGUGAUCGGCAACAAUGGGGCUGAGGCACGGCCCAGACUCGCCCGGGAGGCAGCAGUGGGGAAUAUUGCACAAUGGGGUAAACCCUGAUGCAGCAACGCCGCGUGAGUGAUGACGGGCUUCGGAUUGUAAAACUCUGUCUUCAGGGACGAUAAUGACGGUACCUGAGGGGGAAGCCACGGCUAACUACGUGCCAGCCGCCGCAGUAA